UCUUCCUUCAGUCAGCAUCUGGUGCGUAUCAGAAGGCCUCCAGCUACUUAAAUGACCUCAUGAAUUAUGCAGAGAGCUAUCUUCCAACAUUUUCUCUUCCUAAAAUUACAAAGCUAGCUUGUGAAGAAAUCACCAUGAGAGCGAGUGGAACUGGAGCUAGCAAAUUUAAUGCGGCACAAAAUAAACAUGAAGUGAUCUUUCAAGUAAGAUUGUUUAAUUGAUGGUAAGGACAAUUGGAUAGGUAUUAGUAAUGAUACCAGUUAACAGUAUCUUCAAGUGCAUGAACUUGCAAAUAAUUAGGCGUUUCCCUGCAACAUAUAUAUCAUAAGAAACUUCAUCACAAACUUACAAACCUCAACAUUUGUAAACAGCUCUGCAAGUUCUGCACACAAGCCAGUAUGAUCUUCUGCCCUCUGCUAUCCAAGAUAACGUAAAGAAUCUAGAAAACAAACUUCAUUCAAUACUGACCACAAUGAAGACAUACUUGUCUUCUUUAGUUGUAAGUCUUUAUCUGUUCCAUCACAAACAAAUAAAUGAAGCUAGCGUUUUUUACUUUCUUGGUGCAGUAAACCCUUUCUUACUCAAAAUCUCCUUUUGU
rnacentral:misc_RNA from 1 species